GAUGAACGCUGGCGGCGUGCUUAACACAUGCAAGUCGAACGAAGCACUUUAUUUGAUUUCCUUCGGGACUGAUUAUUUUGUGACUGAGUGGCGGACGGGUGAGUAACGCGUGGGUAACCUGCCUUGUACAGGGGGAUAACAGUUGGAAACGGCUGCUAAUACCGCAUAAGCGCACGGCAUCGCAUGAUGCAGUGUGAAAAACUCCGGUGGUAUAAGAUGGACCCGCGUUGGAUUAGCUAGUUGGUGAGGUAACGGCCCACCAAGGCGACGAUCCAUAGCCGACCUGAGAGGGUGACCGGCCACAUUGGGACUGAGACACGACCCAAACUCCUACGGGAGGCAGCAGUGGGGAAUAUUGCACAAUGGGCGAAAGCCUGAUGCAGCGACGCCGCGUGAGCGAAGAAGUAUUUCGGUAUGUAAAGCUCUAUCAGCAGGGAAGAUAAUGACGGUACCUGACUAAGAAGCACCGGCUAAAUACGUG
rnacentral:rRNA from 1 species